CUGAGACAGGAGCACGUGGCAAGAGAUGACGUUGAUAUUGGCACAUUCGUCACGUGGUUGCGACGUCGUGUAGGUCUGCUGCAGAAUCUGGACACUCCUGCAGUAAAGGCGGUUAUACGGAACUCUUCGGCUCUUUCUCUGGAUAAGGAUGAGCUCAUGUUGCAACAAGGGAGACGCAGGGCGGGCUCGGAGCCGUUACGGUUUUUCAUCCUGUUACGCGGAUCCGCCUCCAUAUAUGUCAACCCAUUCAUCGCGCAGGGUAAACGUCGCCAGAGUACCGGAAGUUCCAUCGAGAAUGUCUUGAUUGCAGCGACCCUGGGCGAGAAAGAAAGUCUGAAGCCGAA